rnacentral:lncRNA from 1 species
ACACUUAUAUAAAGCGAGAAUAUACAACUACACCAUAAUUCAUCACAUCAAACUUGGUUUCAUUUCUUCGAAAGUGACAGUAUUCUAAAAAUGGUAUAUGUCUACUAAGAUUCCGAAAGUCUUAUUUCCUAACGAUGCAAUAUAGUCGAAUACCAAGUCAGUUACAGAACCCACAGACAUCUGCCGAUCAAGGAUCAAUACAGUACAGACUCAAUGACACAUCAUAAUCCAGAAAUCCUGAUUAUCCCUAGUACUGACAAGGACAAGCUAGCUCACACUUGACUAGAGCUACAAAUCUAAGUAGCAGUCUGAUUGAUGUUUGAUUUUCUGAGAUUCUCUUUUUUUUAGAUCUCUUAUGCCAGUAUCUGCUGAUUUUAUGUGCUUUUUCUUCUAUUAUAACUACAUAACUCCAAGCAUGAUGAUGGCUUGUUCAUUUUUCUAUAUAAUAUAUAAGCUAGCUGCUUGUAAUGCCUCAAAUUGAAAUGGUUGGACUAUAAAAUGAUACCACUAAGACAGGGAAACUACUACCAAGGGGUGGGUGAAAAUGUGAAUGACUGAAAUGGGACUUAAAAAGCUAUGGCAAGAAGUCAGAAUGGUUCCUAAGUGUGACUGACUCACCGAAGACUAGACAAGAGAUUCUGGAUGUAAUUACUUUAUGAGGAUCGGAGUUCCAAUUGUUAAGAAGAACCUUAAAGUGAGAUUCCGGAACAUCUACUAGCCUAUUCUCUAUUCAAACAUUUUUUAGAUUCUGAAAAGCAAACACAAUAUAGGUUAGCAAAGAAGAGAACUGAUGCCUCUGAACCUAAUCUUCAAAAAGCUUCACCUGAAAGUUUUCAAGUUCUAUAGCUGCUAUAUAAGUCUCUUCUCUGCCAAACUGCCUUAAGCGCAAUUCAAACACACGCACACAUAAUACACACACAGAAAGGUUUCAAUUAAAAUGCUAUGGAGGAAUGCAAUAUUCGAAUUUCACAUAUUCUGAGGGAAGGCGCAAUUCAAACACACACACACACAAUACACACACAGAAAGUUUUCAAUUAAAAUGCUGAUGGAGGAAUACAAGUAC